rnacentral:rRNA from 1 species
GGAUGGGGAUAGAUUAUUGCAAUUAUUAAUCUUCAACGAGGAAUGCCUAGUAAGCGCGAGUCAUCAGCUCGCGUUGAUUACGUCCCUGCCCUUUGUACACACCGCCCGUCGCUCCUACCGAUUGGGUGUGCUGGUGAAGCGUUCGGAUUGGCGUUAGUGGGCGGUUUUCCGCCUCCUCUCGCUGAGAAGUUCGUUAAACCCUCCCACCUAGAGGAAGGAGAAGUCGUAACAAGGUUUCCGUAGGUGAACCUGCGGAAGGAUCAUUG